rnacentral:rRNA from 1 species
GACGAACGCUGGCGGCGUGCCUAAUACAUGCAAGUUGAGCGAUGAAGAUUGGUGCUUGCACCAAUUUGAAGAGCAGCGAACGGGUGAGUAACGCGUGGUGAAUCUGCCUUUGAGCGGGGGACAACAUUUGGAAACGAAUGCUAAUACCGCAUAACAACUUUAAACAUAAUUUUUAAGUUUGAAAGAUGCAAGUGCAUCACUCAAAGAUGAUCCCGCGUUGUAUUAGCUAGUUGGUGAGGUAAAGGCUCACCAAGGCGAGGAUACAUAGCCGCACUGAGAGGGUGAUCGGCCAACUUGGGACUGAGACACGGCCCAAACUCCUACGGGAGGCAGCCGUAGGGAAUCUUCGGCGAUGGCCGAAAGGCUGAACGAGCAACGCCGCGUGAGUGCAGAAGGUUGUCGGAUCGUAAAACUCUGUUGGUAGAGAAGAACGUUGGUGAGAGUGGAAAGCUCAUCAAGUGACGGUAACUACACAGAAAGGGACGGCUAACUACGUG